rnacentral:misc_RNA from 1 species
ACUGCAUAAUGAGGGAGACUGAUAUGGCAUUUGACCUCUUUCAAAAUUGGUUGACAAGGAAAAGAAAAAGUCUUUCAUUGUGCCACAGUUAUGCAGGGUCAGACUCAGAGCUGAAUUACUGGUUUUCAUGCUAGAGCAGAAUUUAAAUUGCAAGUCAUGGUCCUUGUAUUUGAAUUUCUGAAAAUUAAUUGACCACCGCUGCUUUCUGUUUGAGGAAACUUUGAACCUUGCAUAUGAUUUUUCUGAAGGUAUGUAUCUCUUUUGAUGUUUUAUGAUUUUUUGGAGUGUCAAUGUCCUAUUCUUUGAGAUCACUGGAAUGCCUACUACCAUAUGUGAACACAAUGCUCUUCUAUAGUUUUCCUGUAUAGUGCAACUCUCCUGAGAAUCUAAUUUUUUAACCUGGAAGAUUUUGUAUUGUUCACUACAUGCUAUAGCGUAGGCAAUGACUUUGAUAGGUGCUUUGUCAUAGUACUGACUGCUGUGGUUAGUUACUAGAUAAUAAGGUGUGAUAAUCAGUGAAUCUUAGUUGAGUUAAUAGUACAUUGUUGGACUUUCUUUGGUUCAUUUGUUUUAUUUGAGUCCAGCAUGAUUUAUAUGAGGUUCACUUGGUCUGUGCAAUGAUCGAGUUACUUGGGUUCCAUUGAUGUGACUAGUUUGAUAAUGUGAUUAAUAUUAAAACUUCUCUAUUUUUACUUUCACAUACAAUGAUGUGUCUUGGAUGUGAGUUGGGCCCAUAAGUUGUUUCUAGCUUCCUGCUUUCAUCUUAGACAGUGAGAGAUCAAUAGAGAGAUUUUAUAGUCCCCUCCACCCCACAAAAAAAGAAUUGGUUAUGGGGGGCUAGGAUUUAUUGAAUCAAUUUUUGAUGCUGUUUAACUGGUAUGCUUUCAUGUGCUUAGUGAACUGAGGUACAUCUGGAACUCAGGGAUUUAGUGCAGUGCAUCCAUUUGCUUUCAAGAUCAGUAAGGAAUAGACUUCACCAGUUGGAGCUAAGUACCUUGGUUGAGAGCAUUGAAUACAAGCAAUUGCAGUUACAUGCUCUAGGAAGUGAAGUACAUCCUAUUUCAAGUGUCAAUUACUUUUGAGAAGCACAAGAUAUUUAACCAAGUUAUUAUAUCAGGUUCUUAUUGAUUUGCGUUCAUCAAAAUCAGUGCUUUGGUUUGAUAUAGUUUCCAAAUCUCGAUAUUGCAGGACCCUACUCAGCAACGGUUACCAUCUUCAAUGCAGUGAGAAUGUGCCAUAAGAACCCAAAUGCCUCCUUGGGCUGAACUAUUCAGUUCUCAAUGUGCAACUCCUCUUUUUGUGUCUGUGGAAAGAGCCUUGGCAGGGAUGUCUUGUAUACUUUCCCCUAGUGCCUGAGCAACGAUAAUGGAUUGAACAGAAAAAAAAAAAAGGACAAGAUACGAAGAAUGCGAUAGUUGUAUAUUUGUGCGAGUUGUUUUAACAAUGGAAGUGAGUUUUCUGUUGUUCAUGACACCGUGUAAUUAAGAUUGAACUUGUGCAAAUAGAUUAGUUUGAGCCUUCGAGCUUUGAAUCUAGUGCUUGUCUGUGAUGAAAUGGUAUACUGUUGUUUUGCUAGAGUUGACAAAGAUGACUGCGAGUGCCAAUCCCUACAACUUCAUGUCAGACACAACUUGAAUGAUCUUGUGUGGCCAAGAUUUUAGGCCUUGUCGAUAACAAAAUGAUAUGCUGCAAUAUCAAGCAUAUUAUCAAAUACAUAAUUCAUGGACUGCAUAGCAGGCUGGUAGAGAAAUGUGUCAAGUCUAAAGUUUGUUCUCUUUCUUUGUGUCUGUGUGGAUAGCUUGGAAAAGGGAUUGGAUACAUGAAAAUCAUGGUCUAAAACAAGAGACCAUCGGUGCAUAUGUUUUGGAAAGAAGAGCAGUUGAUAAAUAAGAUUUGAAAUGCAUUUCACAAAGUCUGAUGUAUCUUUUUAUGGGUGGAGGGACUGAGAAUUUUCUUAAAGAAGAUUAGUCUUGAAAUAUAAAUCUACACAUGGAAGCAAAACGAAGGAACUUUCGGCUCUUAAGAAGAAAGAUCAGCAAGAGUAAACGUGAUUUUGGGCAGUUGUGUGAUGGAUUCGUUGGUGCCAUGGACUGCGGUGUUGAUUAACUUCUUAUGAUUGCCUAUAACGGCCGUUUGAUUAUCUGAAAUCUCUCCUCUUGUACUAUCCAAAAAAAAAUGAUCUAUUUAAAAAAAAUUGCCACAUUUGUUUUUUCAGUUUAGCUCUUCACCUCUAACAAUUUGUAGCUGAAAGGUUUCCAGCUAAUAAAAUCUUUUGAGACUUAGGAUUUGUUU